rnacentral:rRNA from 1 species
CCCAGUUCAGGGAGGUAGUGACAAUAAAUACCUUACAGAGGUCUCGUUAACCGAGAUCUCUCAAACGGAAUGAGUACAACGUGAAUCCUUUAACGAGGAUCGACUGGAGGGCAAGCCUGGUGCCAGCAGCCGCGGUAAUUCCAGCUCCARUAGCGUAUAUUAAAGCUGUUGCGGUUAAAAAGCUCGUAGUUGGAUAUCAGUGCGUGUCCGGUCCGGUAUGCCCGGCGGUGUCGCUAGCGCGUCGCUGCUGGGCUCCCAAAUAUCGGCUGGCCGCAUUCAAUCGUGCCGGAUCCGUCGGCGGGCCGUUCUUCGUAGGGGCCUGUUGGCGGCCGGCGAGGUUACCUUGAACAAAUUAGAGUGCUCAAAGCAGGCUCUGAAUGCCUGUAUACAUAUUCAUGGAAUUGGAGAAUACGUCCCUGGCUCGAUUUGGUUGGUUUUGCGAGUCGAAGGGAAAUGAUUAAUAGGGACUGACGGAGGCAUUCGUAUUGCGACGCGAGGGGUGAAAUCCUGUGACCGUCGCACGACGAACUACUGCGAAAGCAUUUGCCGAGAAUGUUUUCAUUAGUCAAGAACGAAAGUUAGAGGUUCGAAGGCGAUCAGAUACCGCCCUAGUUCUAACCGUAAACGAUGUCGACCAGCAAUCCGCAACGGUCACUACACGGACUGUGCGGGCAGCUUCCCCGGGGAAACCAGAGUUUUUGGACUCCGGGGGAAGUAUGGUUGCAAAGCUGAAACUUAAAGGAAUUGACGGAAGGGCACCACCAGGAGUGGAGCUUGCGGCUUAAUUUGACUCAACACGGGACAACUCACCAGGCCCGGACACCGUAAGGAUUGACAGACUGAUAGCUCUCUCUUGAUUCAGUGGGUGGUGGUGCAUGGCCGUUCUUAGUUGGUGGAGUGAUUUGUCUGGUUUAUUCCGAUAACGAACGAGACUCUGGCCUAUUAAACUUGACACUGUCCGUCUCUUGUGACGGCGGUGCGCUUCUUAGAGGGAUCAUCGGCGUCCCAGCCGAAGGAAAGGGAGCAAUAACAGGUCUGUGAUGCCCUUAGAUGUUCUGGGCUGCACGCGUGUUACACUGAAGUGGUCAGCGCGCCGUUCAACACCCCUCUCCGUGAGGAGCUUGGGCAAACGUUUGAACCCUUUUCGUGAUGGGAAUUGGGGGUUGCAAUUG